UCCAUGAGCCGAUAGCUCAGUUGGUAAAGCAUGAGACUUUUAAUCUCAGGGUUGUGGGUUUGACUCCCAUGUUUGAUGAAA